ACAACAGCACAGGACAACCCAGCCUUGCCCAUCCCAAUGGGGAGCACUUAUUAGCUAUGUAAGAAUCAUAAGUGCUCUCUGUUAGGGUGAGCCCGACUGAGGAUCAAGCUACACUUGGUU
rnacentral:pre_miRNA from 12 species